UGGGCGGUUAGAGGUCGGGGCCGCUCACAGCACUGCUGGGGGGUCGCGGGUCCAGCUCUUUGGGAGUCUGGCUGUGCCUCUCCCCUUGCUGACCGGUUGAGUGUUACCACAUCUUAAAAAAGGCAAUAUGUUUGCACCUCAGGGGUCUAAACACUUGUUUCCUUUUCUAGCUCCCCUUAUUUUCCCAUGUAAAAUGAAAGCGAUAAAAAAUGCAUUGCAAAACACCGUGGGUUAUGUUAGUGCAGGUGGGUGUCGUGGUGAUGCUGCGAAACGUUAGCACUUGGUGGUUUGACACUUCAGUGGUUUCUGGGGUCUCGGUACUUCCUCGGGCUCUGCUUGUGCUCAGCAGGAUCGAUGCUACUCCUGUGGGUUUAGUGAGCAGGGGAUUUGUCCUUCAGGCUGGGCUAUAUUGUCCUUCAGGCUGGGCUAUAAUCCCUUGGGAAGUGUUUUUAAUGUAAGAUUGAUGUGAAAGAGGAAUUUAGUACUGCUCGUAUUUGAAUCCCUGUGUGAGUGAUGAUGCUCCUCUAAGAGGGUGGCUUUGCAUCGCUUGCCACAACAUUUGCAUUCGAGUGUAGUUAUCUUAAGGGCCGGUGCUUGUUGCUUGGCUUUUGAGGUUGGCACCUGGGUGUUUGCAGGUGAAAGCGUUGCCUUAAGCCUUCGGAUCUGGUUCUGCCUGCAGCCUGGCAGUGAUCGUGUUUGCUGAGUUUUUCGUAAGGCUCCAAAACUCUGGCGGGUGCAGUUUCUGUUCUGCAAAGUAUAGUCUGAGCUUUUAUGUAGGUAGGAUGGCUGGUGGUUUAAUUUUGUUUGAUUUUUUUAUUAAUAGCUCUAAGCAGUUCUUAGUGGUUUUGUGAUAGGUGUUAUAUAAGGUUGAAAUUGUAAGCGAUCUGCAGGCUUUAAGUGGCUGUCUAAAUUAACUGUGGAUUUCACCCAUUGGGGUAAAGUGCAUGAAUAUGUGGCUUAGGAGGGCAAGACAGUCUUUUUUUUUUUUUCUUUUUUUCAGUGUUUAGACUUUCUAGCACACACACUGGCUAAAUACAUUGUUCUUGCAAUACGUCAGACUUGCUAUGUUACUCUUGUCUUUGGAUUUAGCUUACUGCAGUGUUCAGCAGAAGCGAACAUGAGACAGUGAAAUACUGCAGCUGCAUACAGCACUGCUGGCAGUAAAAGUCUGUCAGUAUAACACGCUGGACAUGCUUUGGUUUCUUGCCAAAUUAAGCAGUUGUUAUGCUCUCAGGAAGUGCCAGCCUCUAGAUAAGAUACAAUUUUCCUGGCCAGCAUUAAUUCUCCCAUUAUAUGUGCAGUAUUGCUGCUGAUAAGCACCCGAAGGACUGUGAGAAAGACCAUUCAUAAGAAUUGUUGCAGAGAGCCUGGUGACAGAUUUUGCGAUACGUUUCUGCUAAUCAGUUGCAAUAUGCGCUUCUUCGGAGCACGGUCUGCUAAAGCACUGCAUUCCUGUGCACCCCUAUGUAUACAGAAGCUCUUCACAUUUCCACAGUGAUUCUCUAGUUUGUCAAACGCAGAACAAAUAUUUGUUGAGGGCACAGGUAUUAAUAGUGAUGCAUGGCAGGUGGGUGGGCAUACCUAGUUUGCUGAGAUGUCACAGUACCCUGAGCUGAAACUUAAAAACCAUCUGUCCCAGAGCUUGUACUGUUGCUAAUGUAGUUUCUGUUGCAAUCACAGGAUACAUUCAGGAUAAAAUGAACUCCAAAUUCAGUGCUGAAAAGGCAGAACUCUUUUGAUGUAUCAUCAAAGAUGCAUGAACGCACAUGAAUGCAGUACAUGUAGUGUGUUGUGCUGAAAGAAUGAUCCUGAAUUUAAGACAAUUCCUUCCUGCCUGUCCCUCCAAAACAUAUGCACAAAAAGUUUACUAAAUAUCUGUUCUACAGAACAAAUACACACUUUUCACUAACAAUUUAGUUAGCAAGAGAAAUGCUUGUCUGGAAUGCAUCCAAAGAGAGAAUGACCGCAGAUCCUGUGGUCAUCCCAGGAGCAAUGAUGUCCCAGCUGCAGGUGCUUAAUGUAGCAGGGAAUGAGUCCUUUAAAGACCAUUUGGAGUCCUUAUUCUCAGAUUGGCUCUGGUCAAGAGCUCAUGCUCUAGCCCCUACAGGGAAGCUGGAGAAGGCCGGUAUAGCAGGUCUUGUCAGUGGUCAGGCAAAAGCUAUGGCAAAAAGGGUUUAAGAAAUCCUGUAUAUCAUAUGCCAUGGUGGGAACCGAAGAUGGUUUGUUAGACUUUGAAGAAGGUGAGACUAGCAAAGACACUAAAAGUGAGGCAGAAGUUGAAGACUGUGAAGAGUGACGGCAAUGAAACGACGGUGUGUGAAGUGUAAAAACCAAAAGGCAAUAGAAGUAAAGCCUCAAAGAAGCAGCUAACUUCAGCCACUGCCUCAUCCUUAUUCUCAUGUGAGCGUCUUUAGUGGCUGUAGAGCAAUGGCAGCUCACCAGAGUAACCUGGCACAUGAUAGGCCCCGUGGACCCAGCACCAGACCAGACGUGUGGUUACAGCUUCAGUCAGCAGAGGGAGUGUGGACACCUCUGUUGAAGGACACACAGGGUUACCCGUGACAGCUUGAGAACAGACUCUACGAGACUUCUUUUGUCUCCAGAAAAGGAGCCCAAGAAUUACCAGGCUGUAGCACUCUGGAUUCUUCACAGUCUGCAGAGCAUGGAUUUUGAAAUGUCAUGAGGAAGAGCUGCAGUAAUCAAAACAGGAAGUGCUCAAAGCAUAAAGAAUGAUUUUAGCGAAAAAUUAAGGCUGACUGUUUUUCUUGUGCAUUCCACACUUCUCAGAAUUAUACAGUCAAGGCAGCAAAGGUGGAAUGAAUCCUUUCUAAGGCUGAAGUUUCUUUUCAUCUACUGCCCAGUUUGAUCUGCUUACAUUCUUCUGGAUCUACCAGUGUGGCUCCAGUUUGUUACAAAUCCCAUUCUACCAGGGCAGAGAAGGCAACAAAUCUUCACAGCCCUGACAACAGUGAGAGGACUCUGAUGGUACGUACUUGGAGCAGUAGCAGAAGAGGGGAAUAAUUCUUUUGACAUAUAGUGAAAAAUAAUCAUCCUUAUCAGUGAGCCAGAAGUAAUUUUCUUUUCCAAAGCACAGAGACACAACUCGGAUGGUUCGCAAGCUACUGAUGCUGGUAUAUGUGAUGGCCUGGCAACUGGAAAAAUGCAUAGUUGCCUCCUUAUUGCUGAUCUUUUUCCCCUCGUAUUUUCUCCAGGGUACACUAAGCUAGAAAGAGAGGAACCAGAGAAUUACCAGAGGCUUUACAAAAUAGAUUGCAGCUUCAUCUAAUGAAUAGAGUGUACUGUGCUGGGAGAUCUAUGGCAGGCUUUCUUCUCUGACUCGAAUGUAUAUAGAAAGAAAUGUAUGAAUUGAGUGGAAGCACAACAUUAUCAUGACCGAAGUCUGGCCACCUCAAUUCUGUACCCAGCUGUGCUACUGAAUUAAUGUGGGCCUUGGGAAGAGAAGUGAAUUCCUCCCAACUUCAGUUUCCCAGUCAAAAUAUGGGUGCUAUUUACUUGCCUUUGAGGUAAGUGGGUGUAAAAGUCCUUUCUGUUAGUGCAAGCCUGGCUCAGGGCAACUAUCAAUUGUCCUGAUCCUUAAGAAAAUGGACUAAGCAAAGUACAGCCCUUUUCUUUAGUCUUUAUUCAGACAAGCAACAAACUUCAGGUCAAUAACAAAAAAAAAGAAAAGAAAUGAAAAUAAAUACGCUGUACUGUGUUGGGAUGGGAGGGCUGCUUAGAAUGGUUUAUCCACUACCUAACCUUUGUGGUUUUUGUUUUUUUUUUUCUGUUCUCCUCUCUAUCAGGAAUAAGCUGUUACACUCAUUAGUGCCCAAUAUCCCUUCAGCCUCUCCAUAUUUUGAGCCUCCUUUGUUACUGUCUUUUGGUCGUGCUUAAUUAAAAGAAGUUUGACACUGAAAGUGCUGAUGACAACCAACAUAUUUGUUUCUGCUGUGUGACCAUGAAUAAAUUAUUUUUUCUUUCCAUGACUCAGUUACUCCAUCUGUAAAGAAGAGCCGAUAAUAGUCCUCAUCUUGGUAAAUUGAGAUCUUCUGAUGAAAAGAUUGACUAUAAUCUACUGACUAAAAAGGAGCUAUUCCAAACUCUCUACUGCUAGUGUGAUCUUAUGUAGGUCAUUUGGACAAGGAUUGUAUCAGAGGACAGAACUCCAGAAGGCUCCACUUACUAAAUGCUGGGCUUCUCUGAAAACUCACUUGCUUUUGGGCUGGGGGACAGGGAAAAUUCCUUGUAACAAAAAUUACAGUAUUUCUUUGGUUA